rnacentral:rRNA from 1 species
GUCCACGCCGUAAACGAUGUCUACUAGCUGUUCGUGGUCUUGUACUGUGAGUAGCGCAGCUAACGCACUAAGUAGACCGCCUGGGGAGUACGGUCGCAAGAUUAAAACUCAAAUGAAUUGACGGGGGCCCCGCACAAGCGGUGGAGCAUGUGGUUUAAUUCGACGCAACGCGAAGAACCUUACCUACUCUUGACAUCUAGCGAAGAUUGUAGAGAUACGAUUGUGCCUUCGGGAACGCUAAGACAGGUGCUGCAUGGCUGUCGU